UUCCGGUUGAUCCUGCCGGAGGUCACUGCUAUUGGGAUUCGACUAAGCCAUGCGAGUCGAGAGGGUUCGGCCCUCGGCAGACGGCUCAGUAACACGUGGAUAAUCUGCCCUUAGGUGGAGGAUAACCUCGGGAAACUGAGAAUAAUACUCCAUAGAUCUAGGAUGCUGGAAUGCACUUAGAUUGAAAGUUCCGGCGCCUAAGGAUGAGUCUGCGGACUAUCAGGUAGUAGUCAGGGUAAAGGCCUGACUAGCCUACGACGGAUACGGGUUGUGAGAGCAAUAACCCGGAGACGAUAUCUGAGACACGAUAUCGGGCCCUACGGGGCGCAGCAGGCGCGAAACCUUCACAAUGUGCGAAAGCGCGAUGAGGGGAUCCCAAGUGCUUGCUCGUAAGAGUAAGCUGUUUUUAUGUCUAAAACGCAUAGAGAGUAAGGGCUGGGUAAGACGGGUGCCAGCCGCCGCGGUAAUACCUGCAGCUCAAGUGGUGACCGCUAUUAUUGGGCCUAAAACAUUCGUAGCCGGUUUGGUAAAUGCCUGGGUAAAUCGUGUAGCUUAACUAUACGAAUUCCGGGUAGACUGCCAAACUUGAGACCGGGAGAAGCUAGAGGUACUCCUUGGGUAGAGGUGAAAUUCUGUAAUCCUAGGGGGACCACCAGUGGCGAAGGCGUCUAGCUAGAACGGGUUUGACGGUGAGGAAUGAAGCCCUGGGGCGCAAACCGGAUUAGAUACCCGGGUAGUCCAGGGUGUAAACGCUGCUUGCUUGAUGUUAGUUGGGCUCCGAGCCCAAUUAGUGUCGGAGAGAAGUUGUUAAGCAAGCUGCCUGGGAAGUACGAUCGCAAGAUUGAAACUUAAAGGAAUUGGCGGGGGAGCACAGCAACGGGUGGAGCGUGCGGUUUAAUUGGAUUCAACGCCGGG
rnacentral:rRNA from 1 species